rnacentral:lncRNA from 1 species
AGAAUGAUGUUAGAAGAAUGAAAGACAUCGUGUACACCCAUGAACUUGGGUGACAAAACAAUAUGAUAAGCUACAGGGCCAACACGCUCUAAUACCUCGAAGGGUCCUACAAAACGAGGAUUCAAUUUUUUUCUCUUCCUAUACCGCAUGUUUCCCUUAUACGGAAAGACCUUGAAGAAAAUAAAAUCACUAGUAAGAAAUUCUAAAUCCUUCCUCCGAUUGUUAGCAUAGCUCUUUUGUCGACUCUAAGUAGUGUAAGAUUCUUACGGAU